rnacentral:rRNA from 1 species
AUGUAUGUGAGGAAUCUUGCGCGGAGCCUCCACAAGUGCAAAACCCCUUUGCUUCUCUUCAAGUUGGACAUUCGGAAGGCAUUUGAUUCAGUCAAGUGGGAGUAUAUCAUUGACCUCCUCUGCCGUAGGGGGUUCCCGAGCAUUUUUCGAGAUUGGAUCACCACCCUACUUUGCUCCUCAUCCUCGCGGAUUCUUCUUAACGGCGUCGCUGGCAGCCCCAUCAACCAUGGCCAGGGGCUCCAGCAGGGGGACCCUAUAUCCCCCUUGCUAUUUGUGAUCGCGAUCGACCCACUCCAAAGAAUUCCAGAGAUGGCGGCAACUAGAGGGCUAUUUCAUAAAAUCCGUGGCCGUGGGGUUCUUUUACGAACCUCCCUUUAUGCGGACGACGCGGCGGUCUUCAUGGCACCCAUCAAGCGCGAUAUUGACCACUGUUGA